rnacentral:rRNA from 1 species
UGGGGAAUAUUGGACAAUGGGGGCAACCCUGAUCCAGCAAUACCGCGUGUGUGAAGAAGGCCUGAGGGUUGUAAAGCACUUUCAGUGGGGAGGAGGAUUGUUAGGUUAAGAGCUAGGCAAUUGGACGUUACCCACAGAAGAAGCACCGGCUAACUCCGUGCCAGCAGCCGCGGUAAUACGGAGGGUGCAAGCGUUAAUCGGAAUUACUGGGCGUAAAGGGUGCGUAGGUGGUUAAGUAAGUUAUCUGUGAAAUCCCUGGGCUCAACCUGGGCAGGUCAGAUAAAACUGCUUAACUCGAGUAUGGGAGAGGGUAGUGGAAUUUCCGGUGUAGCGGUGAAAUGCGUAGAGAUCGGAAGGAACACCAGUGGCGAAGGCGGCUACCUGGCCCAAUACUGACACUGAGGCACGAAAGCGUGGGGAGCAAACA